rnacentral:rRNA from 5 species
GUCUCCGUAGGUGAACCUGCGGAGGGAUCAUUA